rnacentral:rRNA from 1 species
GACGAACGCUGGCGGCGUGCCUAAUACAUGCAAGUCGAACGCAGGGGGGACGGGUGAGUAACACGGGGGUAACCUCCCAUCAGAGGGGAUAACCCUUGGAAACAGGUGCUAAACCGAUACUGAUGGAUGAACCCGCGGUGCAUUAGCUAGUUGGUGAGGUAACGGCACACCAAGGCCACGAUGCAUAGCCGACCUGGGAGGUUGGUCGCGCACACUGUGGCUGAGAACCGGCCCAUACUCCUACGGGAGGCAGCAGUAGGGAAUCUUCGGCAAUGGACGAAAUUCUGACCGAUCAACGCCGAGUGAGUGAAGAAGGUUUUCGGAUCGUAAAACUCUGUUGUGAGAGAAGCGGUAUCUAACCAGUAAGCCACGGCUAACUACGUGCCAGCAGCGGCGGUAAUAC